rnacentral:rRNA from 1 species
UACGUAGGGGGCAAGCGUUGUCCGGAUUUAUUGGGCGUAAAGAGCGUGUAGGCGGCUUCACAGGUCCGCUGUGAAAACUCGAGGCUCAACCUCGAGCUGUCGGUGGAAACCGUGUGGCUAGAGUCCGGAAGAGGAGAGUGGAAUUCCCGGUGUAGCGGUGAAAUGCGCAGAUAUCGGGAAGAACACCCGUGGCGAAGGCGGCUCUCUGGGACGGUACUGACGCUGAGGAGCGAAAGCGUGGGGAGCGAACAGG